rnacentral:tRNA from 1 species
UCCUCAGUAGCUCAGUGGUAGAGCGGACUGGUCGUAGGUUCGAAUCCUACUUGGGGAG